rnacentral:rRNA from 1 species
GGGCAGCGAAGCCGUGAGGCGGAGCCAAUCCCAGAAAACCGAUCGUAGUCCGGAUUGCAGUCUGCAACUCGACUGCAUGAAGUCGGAAUCGCUAGUAAUCGCGGAUCAGCAUGCCGCGGUGAAUACGUUCCCGGGUCUUGUACACACCGCCCGUCAAACAAUGGGAGUGGUGUUUACCAGAAGUCGUUAGCCUAACCGCAAGGAGGGCGGCGACCACGGUGAGCACCGUGACUAAUGUUAAGUCGUAACAAGGUAUC